AUUGAACGCUGGCGGCAGGCCUAACACAUGCAAGUCGAGCGAGCGGCGGACGGGUGAGUAAUGUCUGGGAAACUGCCUGAUGGAGGGGGAUAACUACUGGAAACGGUAGCUAAUACCGCAUACCAUCAGAUGUGCCCAGAUGGGAGUAGGUAGUAGGCGGGGUAACGGCUCACCUAGGCGACGAUCCCUAGCUGGUAUGAGAGGAUGACCAGCCACGCUGGGACGUGGAGACGGGCCAGACUCCUACGGGAGGCAACAGUGGGGGAAUCUGCACAAUGGGGGCAAGGCGGAUGCAGCCAUGACGGGUGUGUGAAUAAGGCCUUCGGGUUGUAAAGCACUUUAAGCGAGGAGGCGUUACUCGCAGAAUAAGCACCGGCUAACUCUGUGCCAGCCGCCGCGGUAAUAC
rnacentral:rRNA from 1 species